GGACAAGGGGUAGAAUCUAGAACUGAGAUUUAUGGCUUGCCAUCUAUUAUCUUGCUCCUCACAAGUUAAACUUCAAUAAUGAAUAAAAAGCAAUAAGGAGUGUGAACCAUCCUUCACUGGAAAAGACAACUGGUUAGGAGAGGCACAUGAGAUAUUAGUGAGAAGAACACAAACGGCAAUCCAGUGUCUCAGAUCUCACCUUGAAUGCAUAAAUAUAAGUAUUAAAAAAAUCUGGAAUUCAUGGAGUCUCCUGGAAACAAUUUAUGAGACUAAUUCAACUCCAAGCUUUCAUCCAGAAGUGAAUAAAUGAAGAUCUCAGCUUCCGACAGACUGCAGAUAAUCCCUUCUUUUUAUCUCUUCCCUCUAACCCCACAAGAGUGUCUUUAUGGAAGAAAAGAGCUAUCUCCAUGAUGCUGUGGUCUGCAUGAAAAUAACAGAAAAGGCACAUGCUGAGAUCUUUUAAAACCAGGCCCGAGUUCACUUUUGUCAGACUGACUGCUGGGCAGCUGAAUGAGAAGUACAUCAAUAUCAUUGCCUAUCUUAACAAAAUGAAACUCAAUAUGGGGAAAAAUAAGAUACUGGUACAGAUUAGAUGAAGCGUGGUUCAGUAACAGUGAGAGGGAACUUGGACUCCUAGUAAACAAUCACUUAAAUAUGAGCCAGCAGCGUGCUGCAGCUAACAAAAAAAUCCUAGGCUGCAUUAACAGAGGGAUAGAAUCAAGAUCAGGUAAAGUGUUAGUACUGCUUUAUAAGACCUUGGCAAGACCACUCUGGGGCUAGUGCAUCCAGUUUUCAUCACCACAAUAUAAAAAAUAUGGUAAGACUCUGAAAAGAGUGCAGAGAAGAACAACAAAGAUGAUUAGGGGGCUGGAGGCUAAAACUUAUGAAGAACAGUUUCAG